rnacentral:lncRNA from 1 species
GCCCCUCCAACCUGGCGUUAACCUCUGCCCAAAGCCCACUACCUGCUGGCAUCUGCCCGGGGGCAGCAAACUCCAACAUGGGUACCCGGUUGACGAUGGCAUCCCGCUUGCACUUCUUGGGGUCACCACCUUGAAGGAUCAUGUCCACGAUCUCACUGAUCCAGGUGGUGCCUGACUUGGGGAAGGUGGCCACCACGAUGUCAUCAGGACGGCUC